CCUACGGGUGGCAGCAGUGAGGAAUAUUGGUCAAUGGGCGCGAGCCUGAACCAGCCAAGUCGCGUGAGGGAAGACGGUUCUAUGGUUUGUAAACCUCUUUUGUAGGGGAGCAAAAGACGCAACGCGUGGCGUUCCGAGUGUACCAGAUGAAAAAGCAUCGGCUAACUCCGUGCCAGCAGCCGCGGUAAUACGGAGGAUGCGAGCGUUAUCCGGAUUUAUUGGGUUUAAAGGGUGCGCAGGCGGUAAAUCAAGUCAGCGGUGAAAUUUUGGGGCUCAACCUUCUAGGAGCCGUUGAAACUGGUUGUCUUGAGUGUGUGUGAGGUAUGCGGAAUGCGUGGUGUAGCGGUGAAAUGCAUAGAUAUCACGCAGAACUCCGAUUGCGAAGGCAGCAUAC
rnacentral:rRNA from 1 species